GCCGGGAUGGCGAAAUGGCAGCCGCAGCUGACUCAAAAUCAGCCGCCCUUAAAGCGUGUGGGUUCGAGUCCCUCUCCCGGCACCG
rnacentral:tRNA from 1 species